GCCGCCUCCGCCGUAAUGACCCAGCCAGCUCACCUGUUCUCUCCUCUCUCCCCCGCAGGUGUGCCAUUCCCGCCGUCACACAAGUUAAAAUGUCCGGAAGUGUUCGACUCGAAGACAGGCAAGCCAAAGUUCGAGUGGCUCAAGAACCACUUCAUCCUGGAGGGGCGCAUCGACGAGGCCGCAGCCCUCCGCAUCAUCAACGAUGGCGCCGCGCUCCUCCGCCAGGAGAAGACCAUGAUCGAUAUUGAGGCGCCCGUCACAGUGUGCGGUGACAUCCACGGCCAGUUCUACGACCUCAUGAAGCUGUUCGAGGUCGGAGGUCCACCUAGCUGUACCAAAUAUCUCUUCUUAGGCGACUAUGUAGACAGGGGCUACUUUAGUAUAGAGUGUGUGCUGUAUCUAUGGGCCCUAAAGAUAUGCUACCCUAACACCUUAUUUCUAUUAAGAGGGAACCACGAGUGUAGGCAUUUAACAGAAUACUUCACAUUUAAGCAAGAAUGUAAGAUCAAGUACAGCGAGCGGGUGUACGACGCGUGCAUGGAGGCCUUUGACUGCCUCCCACUGGCCGCCCUCAUGAACCACCAGUUCCUCUGUGUGCACGGCGGUCUGUCCCCCGAGCUGCACACCCUCGACGACAUCAGGAAACUGGACAGGUUCAAGGAGCCGCCUGCUUUUGGGCCCAUGUGUGACAUCCUGUGGUCUGACCCGCUAGAGGAUUUUGGCAAUGAGAAAAAUGCGGAACACUUCUCACACAAUUCUGUACGAGGUUGUUCGUAUUUCUAUAGCUAUGCAGCUUGCUGUGACUUCUUACAAACCAACAAUCUCCUGUCCAUAAUCAGAGCCCAUGAAGCUCAAGAUGCAGGGUAUCGUAUGUAUCGUAAAAGCCAAACAACAGGAUUUCCCUCCCUUAUUACAAUAUUUUCUGCUCCAAAUUACCUGGACGUGUACAACAACAAGGCUGCCGUUUUGAAAUAUGAAAAUAAUGUGAUGAACAUCCGACAGUUCAACUGCUCCCCUCACCCUUACUGGCUGCCAAACUUUAUGGAUGUGUUCACCUGGUCACUACCAUUUGUUGGAGAGAAGGUGACGGAGAUGCUGGUAAAUGUGCUCAACAUCUGCUCUGACGAUGAGCUCAUGGAUGGGGAGGAGUCCAUCGAUGAAGCAACAACAGUGCUAAUUGUGCCGGAGAAAGGAGCCAUGCGGAAGGAGGUCAUCCGAAACAAGAUCCGUGCGAUUGGAAAGAUGGCUCGUGUAUUCUCAGUCUUAAGAGAGGAGAGUGAGAGUGUGCUACAGCUGAAGGGCCUCACGCCUACUGGUGCUCUCCCACUUGGAGCCUUGUCCGGAGGAAAGGCAUCUCUUAAAAAUGCUAUGGCUGGCUUCUCUCCUAACCACAAGAUCACAUCCUUCGCGGAGGCCAAGGGUCUGGAUGCCAUGAAUGAGCGCAUGCCCCCUAGGAAGGACGCCCCAGCCAUCCCUCAGCCUGUGGCGUCAUCGCCGGCUGCUGCGGACGAAGCAGAAAAAUCCAAUUCCUCCAACACAGCACCCAACACCCACUUGUGAAACCCACAGCCUCAGACUGACUUGGGAAAUUAAUGGAACUAUUUGAUUGUAAUAAAUAACUGAAGUAAAGUUUUGUACAUGAAUAAUUUCCUUUCUGUUAAUGUUGAUUUACUUGUGAUCACGGCCAUGGAUCACUCUGGGUGUGUUACAGUAAGACAUAGACACAGCACGUCAAAGUUCACUUUUGAAUCAGGUUCCUUCACUCACCAAAUAUAAAUGUAAUUUCUUAACAUUUCAAUAAAGAAAACAUUAAUUAGAUGAAAUAGACCAGACUGUAGUGAAGUUAAAAGGACAACCUCUUCAAAUACUUCUGUGAUUUCAACAUGAGAUUCUUUAAAGUUCUCUGGGAAAAAUGCUGCACUUGAAACUGAUCCUUGAGCUGCAGCACACCAGUGUUGUGGUGAGCAGUGCACUUCAUCCUGGGAGUUGUUGGUGUGAGAGGUUACAACAAGCCCCUCAAGCUUGUUAGCAGUGACCUCAUCUUUGUCAUUAUCUGAAGCAGUUACUGUUACUAAACUGUAGGGCAUUGUGGUUUCCAUUGUUUUGAAUAAUUUCAUAAUGGAUAAAACUAUUCAACAGUUUGGUCUAAACAGUGCUAGAUAUUAAUGUCUUACUGUAAAUCUUGUAAAUAUCAGAGAGUACAAUUAAUAAUAUGUGUGUGAAUACUCGAAUAUCUUGACUCAAUUAAUGUUUUGACUGAGUGCCAAGUUUUGGCACAAGUUCAAUUCACUGAACCACCAGAGCCAUCCGGCAGUCACUAGUUGUGGUAUUCCUUGGGCUGGUCAGACAACUGUUCCAAACUCUGCACACUUUAUUGUGUUCAAACAAGUCUGAAAUGGAGAACAAUAGAACAUUAUUACCCUACUAUGUGUAUCCAUUUGAAUUUGCACCUUUGAUCUAUUUUGUUGCCAUAAGUAGACUCCUUCCUUAGAUUGAUUUACGGACAUUGUGUAUCUUGCAGCUUUGAUCAUUCCCUGUGCUUCACAAGCUGUACUUUUGUAGCACUCAUCAUCCCCAUGCUUCAUGAAUUAUAGUGUAUAAUUUGCCUAUUUCUAUAUUUUUAUAUAAAAAUUAAGGUUUCUUCCCCUGCUGUCUUUACCUGCUGUAGUCCUCAUAGGGAAUUGUGACAGAGCUCUUCAUCCUUUAUGUGCCAAAAUUCCCCUUCUUGUAGUGUGUAUACUUUUCCUUUGAAGUUUGAAAUAUUUAGUGGUCAUAAAAUUUUUACAUCAGGGUCUUGUUAUAUGUGGCUUCAAAAUAUGUGAAUUUAUGCACAGUUGACUACCCUAAUUGUAACAACAGUUCUUUGUGAGGGAGAAAAUUUUGGUCUUGUGCAAGUUGUGCAGAAAUGAACACAAGAUUCAGCAGAGAGAGAGAGAGAGAGAGAGAGAGAGAGAGAGAGAGAGAGAGAGAGAGAGAGAGAGAGAGAGAGACAAGUCGGCAGAAAGUAAUUAUGUUACACCAGUGUUGUUUUACUGAUGCAAAUGUACUUGUUUGGUACAUUGGAAUUUAUUCAACUGAAGUAUUACAGCAUUCACUAGGUUUAUGUAUUGUGGAAUGAACAUAACUGAUGAGGCAGCACCACCAGCAGGUUCAAUAUUUGCUCCCUUGGUCAGAUCACACAGACAGAACAUGUUACUCAUCCCUUCCACACCACUGCCAGACCCCCCUCCCCUCUCCACACACACACACACACACACACACACACACACACACACACACACACACACACACACACACACACACACACACACACACACACACACACACACACACACAUGCCUCUGUUUUGUGAGGAAAAGUGUGCAUUCUUUAUUAUGACUACAGCUGUGUUGUGCUUCAUGUUAGGAUUCCCAUGCUUCUAUGCAUCCUGGCCUAGCACAGGACUGUUGGUUCAGCUGAACACAAGAGAACUGCUGGGACUUCAGAAAGAAAGUUAGAAAUUGUCAGCAGAGUAAUAGUUGGUGAAGAAGUGUCUGCUGAAGCUGGUGUCACAGCCUUGCUAAGUCCAUCAGCUGUUACUUGUUCUUAAGUGUGCUGAUAAUUUAUGUCUCAGUUUUUACUUGUUAAUAUUAGUUUCAAUUCUUGUAAUGCAGCUGGUUGUUAUGUUCUCAUACACUGCAUUUUUACUGAAGAUCACUAAUAUUGAUAUUAUGGGAUUCAAAAACAGUCAUGAAAUGUAAAUUUCCAUAAUAGAUAUAAAUAUGUUAGACGUUCUAGAUGCAAAUUCUCAUUAUGUGAAGCUUUUGCACAACAUAAUCCGUCACAUAUAACAAGACGCUGGUGUAGCUGUGAUUCAGAUGAAGGGCAAUAGAUCAUAGAAUCAAAUUCAAUAAUGCAUUCAAAAUGUGUGACAAGGAAGUCAACAAAAGAAUAUUUAUGAUCAGCUUAAGGAUCCAAAUAUACAAUGCAUGUUAAUAUGACUGCUAAGGAAACAUUAGGGCAUGUCUGCACUUCAUCAUUAAAAUUGUGAGCAAACUGAACUAGCAAAAUGUGGUGCUUCAGACAGAACAAACAGAGCAAAAUCACGCUCAUUGUGUGUGAUAUGUCAGCCACAUCCACCAAUGCUUGUAUUCCUCCUGUCAUUCUCCUUCACUCUUAUCAUGAAUCUAACAGUUACAUCAGGUUCUUUCUUCAUCACUUUUCCUUCUGUCAAAAGGAAAAAAAUAAUCAAAUAGUGUACGUAGUUUGUGUUUUGGACCGAAGAAAAUGUCAUUCAUAGGUGAAAUAGACCAUAGUCAUUUUAUAAACUUCUGUCAUAAGUUGGAAAUUAUAUUGGCUAGGAUUCUUAGAUUUAUGCAGUAAGAUUAAGUAUUUGUCCCUGUCCUAUUUCAUGGCUGUGUUAAUGCUGUGAAUGGCCAGAGCAGUGGCGACACAUGUCCACACUGAGCAAGGAUGUUUAGCCAGCUCAUGCUUUUCCCCAUAGACCUCAGAAAGUGUUGAGUGCAUUCUGUUGCCUCAGAGACACCCUACUGAGAUUAAUUUUGCUUGCCACACUUUUCUUGUUCAGUGUUUUUUUUUUUUUUUUUCCCAUGGUCAAAUACUCAAGUGUAGACAUUCUCCAAUAUCAGUAAUUCACAUUUUAUUAAAGUUUAGUUUUUUCACGUAUGUAUCCAAAAGAAGAGCACACAGUAUUAAGGCUCAUGUCAUUGUCAGUAGUGAUGAUUAUCACUACCAUUGCUUCACAACUUUUUAAUUGGCGUGCAUGCAUAUCACCUGAGGAAAGACUUAGACUUGCACCUCACAAGUAGCCUCCCUCACCCAUACCUAGGAUCACUUGAGAACUCCUGCAUAUUUUCUUGAAUUGUUUUGUGAUGUGCUGAAACAAACAUUGACAGUAACAAUAUUCCAAUACUCUCUAAAUAGAAUUUUUCUCUCUCUCCUCUAUUAUGUAAUAUAGUAUUUAUGAAUAAAACUGAGCAAUGAUAAAAUUGAAAAGAUAGGUUUUUAUUUUGUGGGAAGCAACUGUUAGUUGGGAAAAAUGUGAGGGAGGAAACAAGAAUCUUAGCACAUGUAGUUAUCCCAUGAAGAGUUUCUAGAGGGAGCAAGAUGUCAGAAAUACAAAUUAUCCAUGCCAAGAAGAUAUGAAGAGAAAUUUAUUAAAACAACAUGCAGUGGAACCUCGGUUACCGAACAUUUCCCUUUUGAACAACUCGGUUUUCAAACAAAAAUUGUAACUCAUAAUUGCUUUGGUUGGAGUACAAUAAUUGUUUUCGAACAAAGUUACUUGAUUUCAAAUACUACAAGAUGUAGCAAAAGCUGCCAUUUUUUACCAAUUUAUAGUUUCUAUAAAUAUUUUCUUCAAUUUUAUAUAUUUGGAGGAAACACAAAGGUUAAGACAGUAAUUCAGUCUUUGAAAUAAGUUAAAUGUGAUCCUGUUGAAGAACCUCGAUGUAAACAAACAAGGUUCAGCGCUCAGCUCCUGUGGCCCUUCUAUGACCCACAAUGCCAUCACUACUUCACAACUGCAUUUUCCCAUUGGCUUUUCCCAGCAGUAAGAUGUUGGCAGUGAGUGGGUUGCUCCUCUCCGUGUCACUCUAAAGGCUUCUCUCACUUGAUUGGUGACAAAGAGAAUACCUGCAUGAUCUAAACAGUAUCUUUUGAUGAGUUAUGUGUCACUAAGUUCAUCCAAUACAUCCUUUCUGGAUAAAAAAUUUCUAAGCUGGAGAUGUGGAGGCCAUCUUAGCAGUGGGAGCGUCAGUCAUUACCUGCUAAGACAUGGUGGACGGGUGUCUGAGAACGGAUUAAUCUAUUUUACAUUGAUUACUAUGAAGAAAAUAGUUUAAGUUUUCAAACAUUUCAGAUUUCGAAUAGCAUUCAGGAACAAAUUAAGUUAAAAAACCAAGCUUCCACUGUAUUUAGAAAAUAUUUAAAAAAAUUCAUAUUUUCAAAUAGAAAUAUUUUAAUUUGGAACAUUCUUGAGAUAAAAGAGGUGGAACUUGUUUUGGGAAGGAACAUCUAGUCUUGAAAGUUAAUGGCAAAAAAAUGGUCAUGGAAACCGAACAUCAGGCUUUGCUGAAAUCCUGUUCUCUUGAUCUGUUUAAAUAAGACAUCAGCUAAACCUUUUUUUCCUGCUAAUUUGUCUGAAUUGAAGGUAUGAGAUGGUGAAUGACUGAGUGUGAGACAGUGAGGUAUGCACACUGUGGAAGCAACAGAAGUAGCAAAUGAUGGCAAUAGGAAAGCCGAGCCAGAAAGUUAACGUAGUGAGUGGCAACAGCAGCAGCCUCACCUCCGCCUCCCACCCUGCACCACCCACUACUCCCAUGAGGGUAAACUGACCCUUGUGCAAAAAGGGAAUAAAUGGUUGGUAUGGUGUAUGAAUGUAGGUGAUGAACUGUCAACAUCUUGCUGAUCUCAAGUGUGCAGUGAGCCAGUGGGGUGAGGCUGUCUGGCCAGGUCUUGGUUGUGAUGCAAGUAUUGCCUCAGCCCCUGGUGGGCCCCACUGGCCAGCCAACCUCACUAGGCAUCCUGCUAUGCUGUUUCUGUUGCUGCUGCUGUCGGCCAAGACUGGGCUAGGCCAGGUCGCGGCCCUUAAGGGCCCAUCAGUGCUGCCACCACAGAGGGUGCAAGGAAAUGUGGCAGAUGCGGCCUGGCCGGCCCCAGGUCACCAGCACCAAGCUGCUGCUGCUAUAGACUAAUGACCCGGUCACCCAACCCUCUCCAGUGUCCUCCUCCAGUACACUGUCAGACUACACCCUCUGUGUUGCCUACACUGUUGGAUUUCUGUUACAUCCUCCCUUCCCAUUGUGUUGGUGAUGUAGACCAGGACUCGUGAGUGUUGCCAAGGAGCCAUCACAGCUGCCGUAAUGGUGAGCACCUGCCAAGCUCCAGCCAGCCAGUGGUGGGACAGGUGUUAGCACAGUGGUGUGAAAUGUGACUGUGUGAACCCUCCAGCAAAGCCAUAAUGACCAGGAGUCACCAGCUGCAGUGUCUGUCCAGGUUGUGUCACAUGACUAACAAUUUAAUGUUUAAAUGAAACAUUACUCACAUUAUCUAAGUGAACCUGUUUAUAAAUUGACAAAAUCAUGUAAAUAGUUUUCUUUAUUAUUGUGUAUAGCAUGCUUGAAUAUUUAAAAGACUGUCGUACAGCCUCUCUAACUUGUCCCUUCCCUUCCUCUGUAGCAAGACAGCAGCCUGUGUAUUGGUCCAAUGGACUGUUGGCAAGCUUUUUCCUAAAUAUCUGCCAUCAAUGUGACACUUAAGGAUGCAAUACAUUUUGGCCUGUGUGCAAUAUAUCCUCAUUCUCAUCUAGAUUUCCAAAUUCUCUUAGGUUAGAAAGGUAGCUUGUCAUCUUUUGAUCAUUGUUCUGUUGCUCCUCAAAUGUAAUUUCUAUAAGUUUAAUACCAUUUAGCAUUAAGCCAUACUCUGCAGAGGGAGUGGUGUACAUGUAGCAGCAAAACCUGUUUUCAGGGCUAUAAAUCCUCAUGUAAUUCAGUCCCUCUGACAUUACCAUUACAUGUUAAUGAUGAUCCUGUUGCUUAUUGACGUUUUCUUCUCAAUGGUAAUUUUCAUACAUGCAACUGUUUUUGUCAUGUGAGAUAGUAGGAUUCAUAUUUAUCAAUUCUGCCAUAUUAAAUGUUAUAUAAAAAUAACUACUACUAAUAAGUCGUGUUUAAAACAAAUUUUAUGCCUUUUUCCAAACCAAAGUGUCCUAGUCAUAUUUCUCGAGUGGAAACAAGGCACCGGGGCCCAGCCAGUAAGUUGUUGAGCCUGACAGAGCCCCAACUCCAAGCUUCCCUCUCCCAUCCAUGCCCCUCAAAGGACUCUGGGCCCUGCCCACUCUGUGCUGGGAUCCAUCAGCCAUCACACGUCAAGUUUACCUGUGUCGUAAGUGUUGACAAGAAAACAAAACUUCUAAAAGAAAUGUGUACAUUUUAACAUCUUGUUAAACACUCUCACUCAUUUUUCACUCUAAAACUUUGAUGGUUGGUGUACAUUUUGAACAUGCAAGUAGCCCUAAACUUUUUUCUCUAGUAGCUCAUUAAAUCCUUGAGAAAUAUGUGAAUGUGCGUUGAAAGUGGUUAUUAUGCUAUGUUAAUAUUUAUUACUAUAGGCAAAUAAACAAUUUGAAUAUUUUGAUUGUGAGAUAAAUGUUGAUUGAUUCAAACUGAUAUAAAUAUAUUAUUUUCUUGUGGAAUAGGAUCUAAGUUUUACUCUUGUUACCUUGUUCAUCAAUACAUCUUUUAGAAAGUGUCAAAUGUUGUAUAUGACAAAUAUAACCUUUCAUAUUGUUUUUACAACUUGAAGUUUAUGUUCUGUUGUCAGUCUGCAGCAUAAGCUCCUUCAAGUCCAGCUUUUCAAGGCCAGAAUGUUCAGGCUGUAGCAGGAAGCUGGUGUUACUGUUGGCUAGUAAACUAGUGUGUGUGUGUGUGUGUGUGUGUGUGUGUGUGUGUGUGUGUGUGUGUGUGUAUGCACACGUGUGUGUGUGCAUUGUGUCCUCUACCAGUGGGUCAUAAUAACAAAACUAAACUUAAGUCAGUAAUUUAAGACAUAUCUGGAAGCAAUUAGUCAAACAAUUUUCAUUGUUAUUUACUGAAAAAAUGUCAAAGUUCUUACCACUGAAAAAUGCUGGACUGAGAAAAUUAUGUGUUUAUUAUCUGUGGACUUGUGUAUUGAAACUCAAACAUGCAGAUAUGAAAUUUACUCAAAAAGAAAUGUUGGAAUGAAUCAGGAAAACCAGGUAUGAUCUUGAAGUAACUGUUAUCUGAGCUAAGUGAGUAAAUGUCCAGCAUGCAUAUUACUGAUCAAAGCAAAGAUUAUUUGUCAUGUAUUAGUUAUAGAUUCUUUUCUUUAAUUUUAAAGAACUGUUAGAAAUUUAAUAUAUUUUGAGUUGUUUCAUAAGAUGGGAUUUGUAUAUAUAUUAGUUUCAAAAGCAAAAUUUUAUACCAAAAAUGUUGCAAUGAUUCUGAUAUCUCAUGAAAACACUACAUGCAUGAAAUCACUGGUUGCAUAAUGAGCAUAACACUGCAGUACCAAGGUUAUAGAAUCAAUUACACACCAUUGUCCACCCUGUGUAGUUUCUUGAUGCACUAGAGAAUUUUCCAUAAAGUAUUACCAUUAACCAGAGCCCAGGUACAGGUCAGAUCGACUUUGAUCCGUAAAACUGAUUUCAAAAGAGUUGAGGUAAAGCCACUGUGGCCUGAGAUGUCUCCCCAGCAGCCAAGUGACACCCAGUGUUGGUGGUACAAGUCCCAACAGCACCAGCAUUCAGCACCCCUGGACAAAUGGCCUUGACCCUUUGCUACAGGUCAGUCAGUGAGAAGCACCUGUCUGCUUUCUCAUGCAGUGUACAGAACAACCUGUUAUCCCUUGUGUAAACAUCUGUAAGAGAUGAUAAUGAUGAUAAUAAUAAUAAUAAUAAUAAUAAUAAUAAAUAAUAAUAAUAAUAAUAAUAAUAAUAAUAAUAAUAGUAAGACAUUAAUAAUUAUAAAACUUCUCACAUGUUAAUCAAUAACUAAUCCUAAGUCAUAAUCAUGACCUGUAUCAGUGUGUGUUACAAACUACAAGCCUUUGUGCUACUGUUUUAUACUUCUCAGCAUCUCUGCCUUUGUGGUGUACUGUAACAUAAUUAGUUAUAUAUAGCCAUGUUUAUUCUUUUGUUUAACUGUUCCGAUUCAAAAAGAUAAUUAUGACUGGACGUUUGCAUUGUUUCGACAUUGAGAUUCUAAAUAAAUUCUAAGAAUCUUU